GAUUAUGAUGAACCCCAGAUAGGGACAGCUUAUGCCCCCAAAGGCAUGUGAUGUGAACCUUGGGCCGAUUAUUUUAGUAGAUACGUCGUGUUCUGAUA
rnacentral:snoRNA from 1 species